GAGGUUUAGGCAAAUCUCUUAAAGCCGUUCUCAGUUCGGAUUGUAGGCUGCAACUCGCCUACAUGAAGUCGGAAUCGCUAGUAAUCGCGGAUCAGCAUGCCGCGGUGAAUACGUUCCCGGGCCUUGUACACACCGCCCGUCACACCAUGAGAGUUUGUAACACCCAAAGCCGGUGGGGUAACCUUUUGGAGCCAGCCGUCUAAGGUGGGACAGAUGAUUGGGGUGAAGUCGUAACAAGGUAAC
rnacentral:rRNA from 1 species